UGGGGAAUAUUGGACAAUGGGCGCAAGCCUGAUCCAGCCAUGCCGCGUGAGUGAAGAAGGCCUUCGGGUUGUAAAGCUCUUUCGGCGGGGACGAAACGGUCCGUGACAACACCACGGACUAAUGACAGUACUCGCAGAAGAAGCACCGGCUAACUACGUGCCAGCAGCCGCGGUAAUACGUAGGGUGCAGGCGUUAAUCGGAAUUACUGGGCGUAAAGCGUGCGCAGGCGGCUCCUUAAGUCAGAUGUGAAAUCCCCGGGCUUAACCUGGGAACUGCGUUUGAAACUGAGGGGCUAGAGUGUGGAAGAGGGGGGUGGAAUUCCAGGUGUAGCAGUGAAAUGCGUAGAGAUCUGGAGGAACACCGAUGGCGAAGGCAGCCCCCUGGGCUAACACUGACGCUCAUGCACGAAAGCGUGGGGAGCAAACAGGAUUAGAUACCCACGUAGUCCCUGAGCGGGCUGGCAAGGCGCAU
rnacentral:rRNA from 1 species